GAAUGCGUCGAUCAAAGCUCGUCCUUGUGGCGUGGCUCGGUUAGCGCUUCCUAUCUUCCGUUGGGGGGUCAAACUCUCACGGAUCAUUUACUUUGAAAAAAUUAGAGUGUUCAAAGCAGGCGUACCUUGCCAUUGAAUAUUACAGCAUGGGAUAAUAGAAUAUGACGUUGGUCUUAUUUUGUUGGUUUCUAAGGCUGAUGUA
rnacentral:rRNA from 1 species